UACGAAGGGGGCUAGCGUUGUUCGGAUUUACUGGGCGUAAAGCGCGUGUAGGCGGGCUUGCAAGUUGGGGGUGAAAUCCCGAGGCUCAACCUCGGAACUGCCUCCAAAACUGCAAGCCUGGAGCAAGAUAGAGGCAAGUGGAAUUGCGAGUGUAGAGGUGAAAUUCGUAGAUAUUCGCAGGAACACCAGUGGCGAAGGCGACUUGCUGGAUCUUUGCUGACGCUGAGACGCGAAAGCGUGGGGAGCAAACAGGG
rnacentral:rRNA from 1 species